GUUUAUUUCCAUAUCCUCUCUUCAGAGUUUUGCGUUUAAAAUAUUAAUUCAUCCAAAUGACUUACAGCUAUGCAUUUCUUUCUAGGUGCAUAGGGAAUCUAUCAACAUUUCAAGACCACAGAUCCAGGAUGAGUUCCAAAGAAAUACAACAGUGCACCUGGAGUCAAAGUUCAUGUCCAAGCUGGAUGAAUACUCUUAACGGCUUCUGAACCUCUUCCACUCAAAGUGUGGGACCGUUGGAAAAUUUACAUUUUUACUGAAUCUGCAGGAGGACAUGCUAACAUGUGACUGUCUAUAAGACUGUGACCAUUCAAUUAGCUCAUGCAAAAUGUUUAAAUUUUUAUACACUGAUUAUAAAUAAUUAGCUUUUGGUGUUUCACACAUACUGUAUUAGUGUAUUUUCUGUAUAAAUGUACACAUCUGUGUCUUUAAACAACAGCUGCCACUCAUCCCUAUUUUCUAGCUGCUUUAACAUCAACAAUUUGGGAAAAGGCCUACUUUGGCAGUCUCUCCAUGAGUUGAAAUUGAGUUAAAAUGAUAUUGCUUCUCUUCCUCUACUGUGGUUUGAUGGUGCACCCUGUAGCAUAUCUUAUCAUAAAACAUAUAGGCAGGGAAGCACCUAGUCUGUCCAAAAGUCACAAAACUCAACUACCAGCUCACCAAAUGUUCAAUGAUAAACAUAACAUUCAAAAUGUUUUGGUUUUAUGGAAGUUUAUUUUUAUUUUUCCCAGACCAGUGACUUUCUGGAGUCAUAGUUGGUCCUCUGAAAACCUCAGUUAAGACAGGAAGUGUUUCAUAAAACUGGCCACUCACACAGCACAUAAAGGAUUAUUGAAAGUGGUCUCUUUCUUUCAAAAUAACACAAGUGUAAGCAUCCUAGCAUUAAAAACUGAACCAUGACCUUGUGUAAUAUUAAUUUAUGUUAUUUCAGGCUCCUAGCAAUCCUACCAUUAACAUAAGCAGAGACAUUGUGAUCCGGUGUCUGAUGCUGUACUUUGGGGAACCUGCCGACCAGCUCUUUAAAGAGAUGCAGAUGAAGGCAGUGUGGCACAGGACCUUGCUGUACAAGAGAUGAAAAUCUACAGCAUCCAGACCAGUCUGUCAGAAGGUACAGAGGACAUCGGAAUCGUGAUAGACGGAACAAAGGUCCUGACCACUCUGGGUAACUUUCCAAGGGCUUGUGCCAUGCUCAUUGGUUUGAUGUAUGCAGCGAAUCUCGCAUAUCCCAAGAAGCUCAGGUACACUUUUGAACCCUUUCAGAAACUCUUCCUUGAACUGGAUUGUCAACUGGUUAUCCAUACUCAUUUGAAGGUGGUUGUACUUUGGACUUACUGGCACAAGUAAGUGUUUUUGUAGAUUGGAAGCCAGAAGUAAUAA